AUUGAACGCUGGCGGCAUGCCUUACACAUGCAAGUCGAACGGUAACGCGGGGCAACCUGGCGACGAGUGGCGAACGGGUGAGUAAUACAUCGGAACGUGCCCAGUAGUGGGGGAUAGCCCGGCGAAAGCCGGAUUAAUACCGCAUACGACCUACGGGUGAAAGCGGGGGAUCGCAAGACCUCGCGCUAUUGGAGCGGCCGAUGUCAGAUUAGCUAGUUGGUGGGGUAAAAGCCUACCAAGGCGACGAUCUGUAGCUGGUCUGAGAGGACGACCAGCCACACUGGGACUGAGACACGGCCCAGACUCCUACGGGAGGCAGCAGUGGGAAUUUUGGACAAUGGGGGGCAACCCUGAUCCAGCCAUGCCGCGUGCGGGAAGAAGGCCU
rnacentral:rRNA from 1 species